rnacentral:lncRNA from 1 species
ACUGAGCAACCUGCCUCCCCAUUACUGGUUUUGCGGUAGGAGAUAGACGGGCCCCUGGGCCAGACAGCUGAUGUUUAUCAGUGGAGUAAAACAGAAGCUUCUCACCCAGACCCGCCAAGGACAAAGCUAGUGUCAGUAAAUGAGCUCCGCUGGAAUACAGAGAUCAGUUUCAACCUGCCUCCCUAUAGUGGGAGUGCUGGCCAUGGGUCCGUACAGUUCAACAGCACCAAGCCUGCCAGGCCUGCCUCUCAGCAAGCCGGAGCUCACCCCAGCCGCCUUCUGGGCUCUGGGCACUUACCCUGGUCUGGACCCGCCAAAGCGCACACCUGGAUCUCCCGGUCGGCAGCCCCGGCGUUGGAGGAGCAGCCGCGGGUCUCAAGCGGCCUCCAGGGGCGCGGAAAGCGCAGGGUGCUGGUCAGGACGCGCAGCAUGGGGGCCCACUUUGGGACCGGGCCACUCGGCCCUCCACCACCGCCUCCCGCUGAAAGCUCGCUGCUCUGCUCCAGGCCUUUACAAACUGCUCCUCCUAUGGGCCGAGAGCCCUGCGCAGCUCCCUGAGCCUGUAGGAAACCGGAAGACGUGGGUAAGGAGAAAGCCCGGCUCUGCUGUGUGCUUUAGCACAAGGCUGCCAAUCUCCUAAGUGCCAAAAUUUUCAUCUGUAAAGCACGGGUAAUGAAAGUGACAAGUGCCAAAGAUAAAGAAAGCUGAAAGCUAAAGUAGUGAGAACAGAUUUUACUCAGUAAUACGCUGUUGCAAAAGAGAAAUGUCCAGCAUGAACUCUUAACAUAGUUUCUAACAGCUCAAGGACACAGCCCUAGGAUGACUCUAGCCCCUUUGAAGUGCCUGCCUGAGAAAACUCAAGACUGCCGAAGGGUCUUGUUCCAGACAAUACCUGAAGGUAAGGCUCCUAUCUCCCAGUCUCUGAGGGAGCCUAAGCUUGCAGAAGGGACAGCAAAACCAGAAUAGUCCCAUGUGAACUAACCCCGCUCUGCGUAUUUUUUAAGUUUUCACUUCCCUGACUGUCCACAGUCCUGGCUCACCCACUUCCUUAUUCCUUCAUUCUCCUUGUAAAAUCUGUUCUCACUACUUUAAGGGAGGCUGAAGUCCAGCAGAGAAGAGGGCUCAGAGGACCCUGGCUAGAGUCUGGUGAUAGAAUCUUUUUUUUUUUUUUUUUUUAAAUUGGAGGCUAAUUACUUUACAAUAUUGUGGUGGUUUUUGCCAUAUACUCACAUGAAUCAGCCAUGGGUGAAAAUGUGUUCCUCAUCCUGAAUGCCCCUCCCUCCUCCCUCCCACCCUAUCUCUCAGGGAGAAGAGGGCUCAGAGGACCCUGGCUAGAGUCUGGUGAUAGAAUCUUUUUUUUUUUUUUUUUUUAAAUUGGAGGCUAAUUACUUUACAAUAUUGUGGUGGUUUUUGCCAUAUACUCACAUGAAUCAGCCAUGGGUGAAAAUGUGUUCCUCAUCCUGAAUGCCCCUCCCUCCUCCCUCCCACCCUAUCUCUCAGGGUGCACCAGCCCUGAGCACCCUGUCUCAGGCAUCGGGCCUGGACUGGCGAGCUAUUUCCAUAUGAUAAUGCACAUGUUUCAAUGCUAUUCUCUCAAAUCAUCCCACCCUCGCCUUCUCCCACAGAGUCCAAAAGUCUGUUCUUUACAUCUGUGUCUCUUUUGCUGUCUCACAUAUAGCCUCAUUGUUACCAUCUUUCUAAAUUCCAUAUAUAUGUGUUAAUAUACUGUGUUGAUGUUUUUCUUUCUGACUUACUUCACUCUGGGUAAUAGGCUUCAGUUUCAUCCACCUCAUUAGAACUGAUUCAAAUGCAUUCUUUUUAAUAGCUAAUUAAUAGUCCAUUGUAUAUAUGUACCACAGCUUUCUUAUCCAUUUGUCUGCCAGUGGACUUCUAGGUUGCUUCCAUGUCUUGGCUAUUGUAAACAGUGCUGCAAUGAACAUUGGGGUACACGUGUCUCUUUCAAUUCUGGUUUCCUCAGUGUGUAUGCCCAGCAGUGGGAUUGCUGGGUCAUAUGGCAGUUCUAGUUCCAGUAUUUUAAGGAAUCUAGUCAAGGCUAUGGUUUUCCAGUAGUCAUGUAUGGAUGUGAGAGUUGGACUGUGAAGAAGGCUGAGCGCCAAAGAAUUGAUGCUUUUGAACUGUGGUGUUGGAGAAGACUCUUGAGAGUCCCUUGGACUGCAAUGAGAUCCAACCAGUCCAUUCUGAAGGAGAUCAACCCUGGGAUUUCUUUGGAGGGAAUGAUGCUGAAGCUGAAACUCCAGUACUUUGGCCACCUCAUGCAAAGAGUUGACUCAUUGGAAAAGACUCUGAUGCUGGGAGGGAUUGGGGGCAUGAGGAGACGGGGACGACAGAGGAUGAGAUGGCUGGAUGGCAUCACUGACUCGAUGGACUUGAAUCUGAGUGAACUCUGGGAGUUGGUGAUGGACAGGGAGGCCUGGCGUGCUGCGAUUCAUGGGGUCACAAAGAGUCGGACACGACUGAGCGACUGAACUGAACUGAACUGAACUGAAGGAGUCUCCUCACUGUUCUCCAUAAUGGCUGUCCUAGUGUGCAUUCCCACCAACAGUGUAAGAGGGUUCCUUUUUCUCUGCACCCUCUCCAGCAUUUAUUGUUUGUGGACUUUUUGAUAGCAGCCAUUCUGACCAUCGUGAGAUAGUACCUUAUUGUGGUUUUGAUUUGCAUUUCUCUGAUAAUGAGUGAUCUUGAGCAUCUUUUCAUGUGUUUGUUAGCAGUUAAACUGUAUUAUUCAUUGAUUUGUUAUUUCUUUAUAGGUUGCAUAACCAUAACCACUCCCUCAUUCUAGAAUAUUUUCGUCACUCUAACAGGAAACACUAUCCAGUUGGCAGGCAUCAACUUCUCUAUUUUCUGCCUUUAGAGAAUUACCUAGUCUGCAACAUAUUCAUUCACAUGAACAGAAUAAUGCAAUAUGCAGCCUUUUGUGCCUGGCUUCUUUUAAUUAUCAUGAUCAUUUCAGAGUUAUGGCAUGUUAUAACAUGUUUCAGAACUCCAUUCAUUUGAUGGCUGAAUAAUAUUGCAUUGCAUGUUUUAUUUAUUCGAUCACCAGUUGAUGAACAUUUGAGUCAUUUCAACACUUUUUUCCUGUUUUAAUUUAUUCCUCAUUAAACUGUCUUUAUUUUUAAUCAAAUAAUUUUAAAUAUUACAAUUUAAUGGCUUUUUCUUUGGCCCAUUUUUUGAUUGAGUCGUUUAUUUUUGUGGAAUUGAGCUGCAGGAGUUGCUUGUAUAUUUUUGAGAUUAAUUCUUUGUCAAUUGCUUCAUUUGCUAUUAUUUUCUCCCAUUUUGAGGGCUGUCUUUUCACGUUGCUUAUAGUUUCCUUCAUUGUGCAAAAGCUUUUAAGUUUAAUUAGGUCCUAUUUGUGUAUUUUUGCUUUUAUUUCCAUUACUCUGGGAGGUGGGUCAUAGAGGAUCCUGCUAUGAUUUACGUCAGAGAGUGUUUUGCCUAUGUUUUCGUAUAAGAGUUUUAUAGUUUCUGGUCUUAACAUUUAGAUCUUUAAUCCAUUUUGAGUUUAUUUUUAUGGUGUUAGAAAGUGUUCUAGUUUCAUUCUUUUACAAAUGGUUGACCCGUUUUCCCAGCACCAAUUGUUAAAGAGCUUGUCUUUUUUCCAUUGUAUAUUCUUGCCUCCUUUGUCAAAGAUAAAAUGUCCAAAGGUGUGUGGAUUUAUCUCUGGGCUUUCUAUUUUGUUCCAUUGAUCUAUAUUUCUGUCUUUGUGCCAGUACCAUACUGUCCUGAUGACUGUAGCUUUGUAGUACAGCCUGAAGUCAGGCAGGUUAAUUCCUCCAGUUCCAUUCUUCUUUCUCUAGAUUGCUUUGGCUAUUCAAGGUUUUUUGUAUUUCCAUACAAAUUGUGAAAUUAUUUGUUCUAGUUCUCUGAAAAAUACCUUUGGUAGCUUGAUAGGGAUUGGAUUGAAUCUAUAGAUUGCUUUGGGUAGUAUACUCAUUUUCACUAUAUUGAUUCUUCCAAUCCAUGAACAUGGUAUAUUUCUCCAUCUAUUUGUGUCAUCUUUGAUUUCUUUCAUCAGUGUUUUAUAGUUUUAUAUAUAUAGGUCUUUUGUUUCUUUAGGUAGAUUUAUUCCUAAGUAUUUUAUUCUUUUUGUUGCAAUGGUGAAUGGAAUUGUUUCCUUAAUUUCU